rnacentral:rRNA from 1 species
GAUGAACGCUAGCUACAGGCUUAACACAUGCAAGUCGAGGGGAAACGACAUCGAAAGCUUGCUUUUGAUGGGCGUCGACCGGCGCACGGGUGAGUAACGCGUAUCCAUCCUGCCCACCACUUGGGGAUAACCUUGCGAAAGUAAGACUAAUACCCAAUGACGUCUCUAGAAGACAUCUGAAAGAGAUUAAAGAUUUAUCGGUGAUGGAUGGGGAUGCGUCUGAUUAGCUUGUUGGCGGGGUAACGGCCCACCAAGGCGACGAUCAGUAGGGGUUCUGAGAGGAAGGUCCCCCACAUUGGAACUGAGACACGGUCCAAACUCCUACGGGAGGCAGCAGUGAGGAAUAUUGGUCAAUGGACGAGAGUCUGAACCAGCCAAGUAGCGUGCAGGAUGACGGCCCUAUGGGUUGUAAACUGCUUUUAUAAGGGAAUAAAGUGAGUCUCGGGAGACUUUUUGCAUGUACCUUAUGAAUAAGGACCGGCUAAUUCCGUG